ensembl:lncRNA
CUUAGCAGCACGUAAAUAUUGGCGUUAAGAUUUUAAAAGUAUCUCCAGUAUUAACUGUGCUGCUGAAGUAAGGUUGGCCCCUCUCUGCAAAAAAAAAAAGGGGGGGGGGUUGUUUGUUUGUUUUGUUAUGUUUUGUUUUUUUACUUUAAGAUACUAAAGCAUUUUGUAAAAACAUUUGGAGAAUUCGUGUUUGUAUAUAUUUCAAUAUUAUUUAACUUUAUUUUUAAAAAUAGCUGUGUUAAAUUUCUUAGUGAUUUUCUGUUUUGUAAAGUAAUAAACUGAAGGCAUUUAAUCUAUCAAUAUUUAUCCACCAUUUCAGAAGUUAGAAAAACAACUAAUUUUUUUUUUUUUUUUUAAUUUUAAAUAGUUCUCCAGUAUAAACGGUAGGCAUGGAAAGAUGAGCAUUUGGACUUUUAAAAUGAUGUGAAAUUGCUAGCCAUAAAAUGUUUAGGGGAUUUCUCCACGCCCCCCAUAAAAGUCUUGGGUAGUUUAUGCAUUAAAUCUUAACAAAUUUUUUUUUUUUUUAAUGUAAGCAUUUGCUCCUUAGAGAGAGUGAAUUUUAAGAUAACAGUAUCCAUUUUAAAAUUACUACUUUUAUAUGCAGUGAUGAUUAGAAAAAGUAUCUCCUUUAGUUUCUCUUCUUGUCUAGACCUACUAGUUAUCAAAUGAUUGAAUUAAAAUGGAUGAUAAUGAGUUUCUCUGUGUGUAUAUUUUGAGUAAAGUAAAACAGUUCUUGACUCAUUAAAAGUAUAAAGAGAAAGCAUAACAAAUCAUUUCUAGUAAUUAAAAUUAUUCAUUUGGGGAACUUAGGAUUCUAAGUUCUACUUUAAAUGUAUGUUAAAUAAUUAAUAUUAAAGUUGAGAAACUAAAGAGAAGACUAUUCAAAGUAAUCAUAUAUGGGUAAUUGGGCCUUUAAAAAACUUUCUCUAAGGAAAUCUUAUCUGCAACAGUUGCAUAACAAGUCUUAUAAAGAAAUGAAAUGCUGACUGAACUUUCUGUGAUCCAGGUAAUGUUCAGAAGAUGGUCCUUAUUUUGAAAUAACUCAUCAAGAGGAGGAGAUAAUCUAAUUUUCUUUGAUAUUUUCUAGCAGUUGCCAUAUAAUUUUUAAUGCUAAUUAUAUAUUCAGUUCAAUAUUUAUAGUAGUCUUCUAAAUAUACAAUUUAUUUUCAAAUUGUAUUAUUCUAAACUUUAUGUAACAUUAUAGUCAAUUCAAUUGAUAGUUUGUUUCCUGAGUAUUUAAUGGGUUUGGGGAAUUUGGGGAGGAGGGGAUGUUUGUUUUCCAAUUUGUAUUGGGGGGAUUGUGUUUAUUGUGGGGCAUGGUUUUUUGUUUUGUUUUUUAACAUAUCAGAUUAUUUCGAAUUAGUAUUAAUAAUUUGUUUUUUAAAUAUUGAUGCACUUUUAUCUCUCUGAAGAAAUCUCAUAUUUAAUAUUCGAGCUUCAAAUGUAAAUGAAGAUCAAUUUAUGUUGCUACUUAUAGCUAAAUCAUAGCUUCUCGUUUUAAAGAUUACUAUAAAUUCUCUCAAUUGAGAGAGAGAGAAGAUAAAACUUGGGGAAAAUAAACCAUGAAGUUUAUGGAGAGUAAGAAUCAAAAACUUGAAUUUGCAGCCAUCUCUUUUAGAAGCUUCUAAAGAUAGCAUAUAGUAAGUAUAUAUUCUUGAAUAUAGACUAAUAGUAGCUUGGCAGAAUAAGAAUGGAAACGUAUCUCAUUUCGUAGUCAUCUUUCUGUGUGAAAUCUUUUUGGAACUUAAUUCAAUUGCUUGCAAAAUUUCACUUAGAAAGGUAGUAUGGAGGCUUAUUAGUGUAAAUUCAACAUUUUUGUUUCUUCCUUAGAUAAAAUCCUAAUGUCUUUCAGGUUUUUUUAAGUUGUUGCUGAAUAAUUGCAAUUGUUGACAAUCUCUCCUACUUGGAGUAUGGAACUUAACCAAAACAAUUCAGGUGGAUAUUAUCGUCCUGAUGGGAAAAAAAGCCUUGUCUCGCGUGUUUCAGUAUCUCAUUGAUUUAAAGAAAGUAAAAAUUAGUGUCUCACUGUUUUGAGAGAGCUUUGGCUCUUUGAAACAUUUAGGUAGAUUAAUGUACUUAUUGGAAAUGAAGUAAAGGUUAUGUUGAGUUAGUCUUAUCUACUAUUUUUAUAGAGGCUCCUUAUAUUAUUUAUGCUUAUUAAGAGGAGUUCUGAUUAGAUAAGCAUAUAUUCAAUUAGUUCUUAUUGUCCUGUUAAAAAAAUGACAUAAUAGCCCAUGACGUUUGCUUUUUUUUUUUUUAAUACUAUGUUUUUAUUUUGUUUAAUCCAAGGCAUCAGCAAAAUAAGUUAUCCUUAUUGACUUUUGCUUAUUUAUUUGUAAUUCUACUGAAAAAAUAAUUAUGAAAUUAAAUUGAAAACUUUGUAAUUCAUUCAAAAAUUAUCUUAUGUAUCAAAGAAACUUAGUUUGAAAUGACUAAUAGAUCUUUAGGUUAAUGUAUUGAAUGAAAUGAAUAAAAAAGGCAACAGGUAUUACUCAUUGUAAAUAAUCUUGGCUGCAUAGUCUAAAUAAUUUCUUCAAUUUUUGGUGAGGCAGUUGGGGUUGUGACCUUCACAGGGUCACACAGCGAGGAAGGGUUUGAGGUUGGAUGUGAUCUCAGAUCCUCCUGCUCCAGGGCUGGUAUUCUGUCCAUUGCAUCAUCUAUCUGGCCCCUUAAUUUGUAAUUAAUAUAGCUAGACUACUACCUAGUACUAUAAUAACCCAUCCUUUGACAGAGAAAAUAGUGGACACGAAUAGGGGAAUUUUCAGUGUAUUAAGAUUUAUUAUGAAUUUGUACUUUUUAAAAUGUUAUUGUAUCAGAAUCAAAAUUAUACUCAACUAUUUUCAUCUUCCAACUUAUAAGAUAACAAGGGACAAACAAAUGACUUUACAUAGACUACCAAAAAAUUAAUUUUAGAUUGUAUAAAAAUGUUUGUUUUAGUAUCUAAGACAAUGGGAUAAAGAAUUUACUGAAAUAAUCCACAAAUUUUGUUCUCUUACAACAGAAUUUUAUAUUUAUUUAGAAACCAUAUAUGCCCUUUUUUAUUUAGUCUUUUUUUUUUUUUUUUUUUUUGCUGCUGUUAUUUAAUUCUGUAGUUGUUUGCUUAUUUUUAAAAACUUAGUUGUUUCCAUUUGGGAAGCUAAACACUCAAAUUUUGUAGAUUGGAAAUGGCUAAAGCAUAUCAAUCAUUUUAAAAUUAGAAAAUUUUGUUAUUCGUUGAGUUUAGUCAUGCCCAACUUUUCAUGACUCAUUUUGGGUUUUCUUAUUAAAGAUAUUGCCAUUUCCUUCUCCAGCUCAUUUUACAGAUAAGGAACGGUAGCAAGCAGGAUAAAGUGACUUAGAAUCACAGUCAGUAAAUAACCCAGCAUGCUAUUCAGAAUAGUUUUAAUUGCCUCCUUAAAUUGUAGUCUAGAUUCAGUCAUACCUGAGCACUUUGUAAUUUUAUGAAUUCACUUGCAAAAGUAUGGUGCUGGUUUCAAGAGAGAAAUUUUCUUUUAGAAUAAGAUAUGUUAUUUAGAAACAUUGUUGUCAUUUGUUACUCAAAUUUUUUCAUUUUCUUUGAAUACUUUUCUCUGACAUUUUUUACUAGUAAAGAUAAUUUUGUAUAGAAUUAGAUUUGUUUUAAUGUAUCUUGUAGAAUAUACUUCUAGAUGACUCUUAAUUCAUGAUUCUUUGAACUAAAGAAGAACUCAACUUUUUCAUGUCUAGGCUCAUCUCUGAAUGUAUUUUUUAAAGUAUUAAAAUAUAUUUUUUAUCUGUAUUACUAUUCUGGCAUUUCUAUUCUUGUCAGUUUUUUUAAAAAAUUAAACACUUAACAUAUUUAUUAACAAAAUCAUUUCAUAAACUACAGUCUUAACUGUCAAUUCUCCUGGAUGUAAAAAAUUAAAGUAAUAUGUAAAUUAUUUUGCAUCUGGCAUUAACUUCAAAUUACUGGACUAUUUUUUGUCUCAUACUUGGCCAUAAAUUUUCUUACUAUAGAUAAGUUUGUUGUCUAAUUUGUUGUUGUGAAAUUUAAUGUUUCAGCCACAUUAAUAUAUGAUGGGUAGGGUGCGGGAGGAAGAUGGGAAUAGAUCCAGAAGCUUUUGUACUGAAAGUUUUUGUACAGAAGUUUUCAUAUUGAAAACUGUUUCUAACUCAUGUAUUUUUUUUUUAUUUAAUAGCCUUUUAUUUACAGGAUAUAUGCAUGGGUAACUUUACAGCAUUAACAAUUGCCAAACCUCUUGUUCCAAUUUUUCUAACUCAUGUAUUUUUAAAAACUGUGUUUGAACAGGAUUAUGUAUGUUGUUGCACAAAUUUUCUUCUGCCUUUGUAAUAUAUUAUACAUUUUUCCUUUGCUAUUUUUGAUAAAUUAAAGGCAGUAAGACCACAUGGGAAAUUCCUCAUGUCAAUUUGAAUUUGGCAUGGGGAAUUGGACUUUUUUUAGAUAUCUCUUAACUGGAUUAUGGAUUUUUAAAAAUGUUUUCACAGUGAAAACUUAGUUUUCCAACCUUGAUGGAGUCACAUUUCCACUGAUGGUGAAACAUCAUAACCUAUCAAUCACUUUGAAGAUUUCCCUAAAAUAUAUUAGGUUUUAUUAAGAAAUAUCCUUACUAUUAAAAGUGUGCAUAAAAGAAAAAAAUCUUGUUUUCAAGAACAUAACUUCCAACUGAUAUGUCUAUAAUAUAUACAUGUGUGGUUACUAUACAACAUUAAAAACAUGGAAUCUCUUUCAGUGGAAACUAACCUUAUAAUUGGCUAGUUUAAUUUUUCUCAGGAAAAGUUUAGUGCUUUGACACUAACCCAUUUUUGGAAUCCUGUCAUUUUAUGGGUGUUAGGAGUUCCAUUUACAAAUACUAUAAAUUUAGAAAAUUAUUUAGGAUUAUUCAAAAUCAAGAAGAAACAAAAAUAAGUAUGAGAAGGUAUUUAGCAAAUAGUAACUCUGCAAGAACUUGGAACUCUCUAGACUUAAUGCAGUCUUUUUGGGGCAUUGCUGCUCAGUUAACCCCCUAACUGUUCCCUCAUGUAUACCCUACUGUUGCCACCUGGCACAAACUUAAUAGAACUAAAAUCAAACUAGCCCAGAACUAAUUGUAUACAGUGAAUAGUGUUUUAUGCCAUUCAAAAGCAGAUCAACAACUCAUGCAUAAUAUGAACAUUGUGGGAAAUUGUACCCAUACUCAAAAUAUCUCCUUCCUGACAUUGUUGAUGAUGAUUCUGUUGCAUGAUCUCUAUCUACUAUGACAAGGCUAUUUGUACUCAGAACAGUGUAUGUGCACUGGGGACAGAAGACUGGAUUUUGAGUCAGAAAAACUAUAUGAGAACUCUGGCUCAUAUUUACUCUGCCUUUAUGAUUUGGAGCAAGUUAUAAAUCGGACCUAAAAUGGGAAUUUUCGUUCAAUGACAUCUGAGAGGGCUUUCUACUCAAACUUCUAUGCCCUAUGGCUAUUAACAAAAUUCAUUUAAUACCUACUGAAUGAAACAACCCCUACUUUCAAAGAGCUGAAGCAAAUACUUUUUGUUAUAUUUAACCUAUUUCUAUGAUGUAUUCCUUUUUAGAUUUUGAGCUCCUUAACAGUAGGGGGAAAUGUCUUAUAUACACAUUUGUUUUCUUGCCAUUUAGUAUAGUACUUUACACAUAAUAAAUGCUUAAAUAUUAAUUGAAUAAAAUAAGUUCUUCCCUUUUAUACUGAUCAUGUAGUCUACAUUAUAGUGAAACUAAAGUAGUGUUCCCUUAAUGUGAGAUUUCCUUAUGUUUUAGGGAGAACUUUUAAAUUAAUAUUAAAAAAUAUAAGAAAAAAAUUUCCUUUUGUUUAUAUUAGCCAAAAAAUAAAGUGGGCUGCUUUUGGAGACAGUGAAUUUAUAGGUUCAUCUAUACAGUGAUUUGCUCAUGGGCACACAGGGAGUACAGCUCAAAAUUGAAUCCAGAUCUCUUUUCACAGUGUUGUCAUGCUGAUAUCCAUAAACCAUUUUGGCACAAGACAACUCACUGGAGAGACUAAAAGAAUCUAGUUUUGAUUUUGAGAAAUAAGAUUUAACCUAUCAUAAUAGCAACUAAUGAAUGAUAGAAACGUACAGCAGGAAUGAGGAAAGCCUAUAGGGGAUCACUGAUAGUCAUGAAGGAACUAGUCUAGUUAUAUAACAACUCUUUUUGUAAAUUGGAAAUAAAUCAAGAGAGCAAGUGGAACAUCCAUUUCGCUAACUUGUAAGAUCUUUCAGUGUGAUUUCAGUCAAACUUUCCAUCAGUGUAGUUAAAUUGUUUUACUACCCAUGUAGUGUCCAUCUUGAUUUUUUAUUUUGUGUAGGCUGCACCCUCUGCCCAAAAUACAUUGUUUUCAGUUUCUGCCUCUUAAAAAUUUUAACUUCCUUCCAAAUGUAAACUGAAGUGUUACUAUCUACAAGAAAGUUUCCCUGAUACUCUUUAAUUUUUUUUUUACAUUAAAUAAAUCAGUUUAAUUCAUUCUGCCUAUUAGAAUAUAAGUUCUUUGAAGGUGACGACUUUUCUUUUUCUAUUUAUAUUCCUAGGACUUUGCUAUUAAUGUUUAUUGAAUUAUAUUUUCUGUCUUGUAUUUUAAUUUUAUUCCUUGGUAAAUUUUGGCUAACAGCCCAAGUAACUACAUAAUUAAAUGAUUGUUACAGGCUGUGAAUGCCCAAGGUAUAAAAAAUAUGAUAGAAGUUACAAUGAUUAUAUUGUUGAUCAGGACCCAGGGUAGUAUGCUAUAGCAACUAAUGAAUGAAUUUUAAGAAAGGUACAUAGUAAUUUCAAAGACUUCUUAAAAGAAUAAAGAACAUAAACUAAUUGCAGUAAAAGUUUAGAAUGAAUUAACACAUAUUAAAUACUUGCUGUUAAAGAACUUUAUUAUGAAAUAGUUCUAUAGCUUGCAUAAGCUGCAUUGACUCAAUUGGAAUUAAGAAAAAGGAUAGCUACUUUAGGGAUAAUCAGGAUAUGUGUAUCCUGGGGUCCUAGAGAAUUAGAAAGUGUGAGAGGAUUUAAAAAUGGAGACCAGAAUGACAAAGGUGGUCACCUAUUUUAGCUUUUCUUCUCUUUCUUUUCUAUGUCCCUCUUCUAGGACCUUGAAUUCAGACUAGUUAUUCAGAUAUAUUUUAAGUAGAAUGAUUUGUAAGGCUAUUUUUAAAAAGCUACCAUUUUAUAACAUUUUCUGUUGCUAGAUGUUUCUCCAAUGUUGAUUUAUACAAAGACAUUUUUGGAAAAAUAGCUGUUAGAGAUUGGGUGCUACACGCAUCCAGAAAUUAAGCUAGAAAGCAAUUUCAUAUUAAACUAAAAUUUUGAAUUCUAAUUUUUAUUACUUUAUUGCUUAGGUGAGUCCUGACACUGAGAGGCAGGGAUAGCAUUUUAAACCUAAAAAGAAAUUAGUUAACCUAACCAAAUCCUAAACAGUGGUGAAAAAAUCAACAUAUAUCUUGUUAGGUUUUCACAAAACCACUGUGUACUUUUCUAAUAUAUAACAAUCUUGUAAAAUCUUAGAAUUUGUGAUCUAGAAGAUUUGAAACUAAUGUUUCAUUUCAUACAUGAAGAAAAGGAGGCAUACAAAGAUUAAAUGAUUUGUUCAAUACACAUUGCUCACAUGAACUGUUAACUAUAUUCUUAGCACAAAAUUAGAUAUGCCAUUUUCUGAUUAUCUUUUUUUUUCAGAUCCCCUGAAGAAUGGAAAAAUGGGCUGGAGAAUGAUUAUUAAGAGAAGGUUGUAUGACUGGUUAUUCAAAGAAAGAAAAGGACUUUACCGUUCUGAAUACAUGCCACCACUAUUCAUGGGUGGGAAAGACUUGGUAGGAGUUUUUUAUCCAGGUACUUCUAGUUGAGUAACAGCAUGCACGUUUUUCAUGUUACUUUAAAAAAAAAACAAAAACACAUUUGAAUGAUAAGAAAAUAAUCAUUGUUAGUACAAAUAAACUAUUACAAGCAUUUGAUUUCAUUUACAAUAAAUGACUACUUCAAAAGUUGUAUUUUUUAAAAAGCUCUUCUGCCAAUUAAGUGGCUUACACAUUGGUUAAAUUUGCCCAAUGCACAAUUAGAGACUAAAACAUUUGGGAGAGGUAGCAUGGAUCUGGAGUCAGAAGUCAAGAGUUUUAAAUCUCUUCUAGUAUUUAACUGUCCUGGGACAAGCCAUAUAAACUAUAAAAUCCCAGUUUCUGUAACACAGAAGUUCUACGAAAAUUACUUCAUGCGAGAAUCAACAUGUAUAGCAUCUCUACCAAGUGACAGCAUUAAUUUAAAUAUGUCCAGGAAUGGGAAGAUAAUUAUAAUUCAAAGCAAUUUAUUGAGACAUUUUUUGUUGUUAGGAAGUUCUUACAUUGACCAGAAAUAAAACUUGUUUCCUUGUAAUUUCAUGCUUUUAUAAUACUCAUUACUUAUUUUUACAUUGAAUGAAACUAACUUGCUUUACAGAAAAGAAUUUUCGAAAGCAGCUAAAUGGUCCGAUGAAUAGUGUUAGAUUUAGAGUCCCCAAAAACUUGAGCUCAAAUUUGGCUUCAAUAUUUACUGGUUGUGUUACACCAAGCAAUCACUUAACCUGUUUGCUUUGGUUUCCUCAUCUAUAAAGUGGGGGUAAUAAUAGCAUCUAUCGCCAAAAGUAGUUGUAAGGAUCAAAUGGAAUAAUUGUAAAGUCACUAGCACAUGUUACUUGUUAUAAUACAUCUUCCAUAUCAUUUUUUCCUAUACAGUUCUUUUCCCCUUAUCUUUUAUUACUAGUUACUUUUUACCUUGUUUUGAAUUUUAAUAAAUGAGGAAGAAAGUAGAGCCAGGAGAGGUGAAAUGACUUGGCCAGAGACUGACUAUAGCUUCAGAAUGAGAUUCUCUGACUCCAAAUCCAGUGUCUUUUUCUGCUUCUUAUUCCUGGAUGUAUUUCAGUUUGUCAGUGUCUGCUUAAAAUGUGCCAAGGGCAGGAUAUAAGCCAGUAAAUAGCUACAUAACAAUUGAAUUGAAAAUUGGAAACAAUUCUGGCUUUUAAUAUUGUACAUAGGAGAAAAUUGUCUUUUUAAUUUUAUAUUGCAGUGUGUAAUGCUUGGUCAUUAGCAUCACCAGAACAUCAGAGAUUCUCAAGAAAAAUAGGUAAUAGUCAUUUAGCUAAUUGCAGAGACAGAAUGCCUAAAGUAACAUAUUCAAUGAGUGACAGCUUAAAUUUAAACAGAGAUUCUCUAAUCCUAUAUCCAGUAUUCUUCCUACUCUUUAUCACACUGUCUUUAUUCAAUAGGCAUUUGAUUAACAAUCUAACAUUCACUUGAAUUAGAGAUAAAAUAUGGAAAGACAAAUCAGUUCUUUAUAAACUUAGGACAUUAAGCUAGAUAAUCUCAAAGUGAAGCCUUCCAGAUCUAAAGUUCUUUGAUUAUUUAAAAAGCUAACUUUGUAUAACCUUAAGGUCACAAUUGAUAGAUUUCUUUUUUUACUAACAUUUUGUGCUUUAACUGAAAUUAAGCAAAUUCAAAGGAUAUUUUGUAUCAGAAUUUUUAAUUGAUAAUUUUCUUACAUUUUCAGUAGCAUUGGUGAUAGUUUAUACAACUUAAAGAAUAAAGUCAGUUUUAUUGAAAGGAAGACAAGUUUUCAUAUCCCAAAAGAAACAUGAAAUGUGUUAUUUAUUAGCUAAUUAUAUUUUAAAUAUAUAGUACACAAUUCAAUCUGUAUGGCAGCAUUAGUUUUUUGGGGGAAUAGACUUAAUUAUAUUCUACUACUAGCUGAAUAAAGAGGUACACACUACCUUGUCAUUUGAGAAUGAAUUCCUCUGCUAUGGUAACCCAGGAAAUUAAAAAAAAAAAAAAGUCACUCAGUCCCCCUACUCUUCCUCUACCGAUAAUGGUAUUGUCUGAACAAAGAACAGAAGGCGCUAAAAAAGAAUUUUUUUUUUUUGAGAGCCUCUAUAAACUAAUGUAGCUCCUGGUAUUCUUAAGGUCAUAUCUUGGUCCAGUUACCAAUAGAUAAUCUUCCACUGACAGAAAUUAUUCAUGUCAAUCUUGAUAUUCCUACUAUAAUUUAAACCAGAAGAAGGAAGUUGAUGCUAAAUGGAAGAAUUCAGCAGGUUCUCAAUGAAGAAGGAAAUGAAGGAAUUAUUGGUAGCAUUAGUUAUAUUAUAAGGUAAGAAGAAGCAAUUCAUAGAAUAUUUAGUCCUCUGGCACUGUAGUGCUUAUGAUAAGUAUUUGUAAAAAGUCUCCCAAUGCAAUACUGGUAUGUAUACCAGUAUUCUUUUGAAGAUAAAAUAGAGAAAUAAUGGAAGUUCAUUACUGACAAGCAAAAGUGAGAAAAGAGGAUUAAGAAAGCAAUUAGUGAUUAAAAAAAAAAAAAUGAGAAUAAGUGCCACAGAUGACACAGAAGCCUCAUGCCUAUCUAAACAUCUUUGAAAAAUAAUUGAUAGAUUUUGGACAUUGCAAGCACCUAAAUAACCCCACAAAGAAAUAAAAUUGAUUAUAUUUUAGCUGAAAAAGAUGACUCACAGCUGGCAUUAUAGUGAUUCUUAAAUCAUCUGUCCAUAUGGUCAUAUCAAUGACUUGGAGAAAAAAUCAAAAUCGUUACAAAGCUAGAAAAACUAAAAUUUAAAAGUUUUAGUGAAACUCAUUUCUAUUGAAUUUCAACAAUUUAUUGAUAAGAAAAACCAAAACUUGUAUGAAUUAAUGGCAAAGGAAAGUUCAUAGAAUCAGAACAAUUUAUUCCAGAACAGCAAUAUUGUGAAGAUAAAUUUGAAAGACCAGUGUCAUAAUAAAUAUAAUAAUUUCUAAAUUGCCAUAGCAGAGAAUAAAGCCUAAAAAGCAACUUCAUCAGAAAACGUUUGAUGUAAAAGGUAGCCCACAGCACCAUUUUAGAACUUCAGGCUUGUUCUAAGAAAUCAUAUGGAAAGAUAAUGGAAGAUUAUAAACUAAAUCACCUCAUAAAGCAGAAAAGAAUGGAGAUUUAAACUAAUUGAAGCGAAAGCUUGAGUGAAAGAAGCAAUUGAACAGUUUACCCUGAUGGCAUUGUGGGACUAAACUUGGAAAGAGGAUAAUGAACAGAAGAAAAAUAGAAAUCCAAAAAGUUUUAUUAGAAGCCUUUCUUCACUAUCAAGGGCAGUAGAACUUUUUUUUUUAUAAGAAGGUGGAAAUAUCACAAAAAAUCAUAAAGGAGUAAGGAAAGGAAUAAGCAUGUAUAUAGCUCCUUAUAUGUGCCAAGCAUUGUGCUGGUGCUUUUACAAAUAUUUCACUUGUCAUAAUCUGCAAUUUUUAUGGGGGUAGGGGGAAGGGAACUAUAAGUCAGAGAGGUAUUAAGUGUCUGAAGCUUAUGUUCAAAUUUUGAUCUAUCAUAACUAUAUCUGCAUCCUACCAGAUGCAUCAGAAGUGGCAAAAAGCAACAUAAUUGGCUGACAUGCACAUUAUAUUUGCAUGCUAGAGAUAACAUUUUUAAGAAUAUUGAAAAAUCCGUGGUGUCUUUUAAGUCUUAACAUAAAUAAGGCAUUGAAGAACUGAAAGAAUGUCAUAAAUUCUUUGGGAAUGUAUGCUAAAAAUAAUUGACUGUUCUGAUGUCCAGGCUGAGAUAUCAGAAGGCAAUAGUUAAGGCACUCUACUGGUAUCCUAGUAUUUCUAGCAUAUUCGGUGAACCCUCAGCUGUAAACUUGAACAAGAGUUAGCUGUAAUAGAAUAGAUUUGGUUUGGAUUAUCUUUAUUGUUGGAGGAAGCAUACAACAUGUUAGCUGACAGCCUUCUGAAAAGAUAACUUGUAUAGUGUUUUUAUUAAAAUAUGAAAAGCUGAUUUUAGCUAGAGUCAGGUUUUUCCUAGACAGUGUUUAUUCUUGCAUAAACAUAUAUCAAAGCAUUUUACCCUUAUGAAUUUAUAUUAUGUAUAUGUAGAAAGCCAUAAGGAAUAGCAUUUUUAUUACAUCUAUUUAAAAAUAGAAAGGACAGGGAAUACCUUCUUAUAAAAAUAUUUUCAAUAUAGGGGCAGCCAAAUGACUCAGAGAUUAGAGAACUGGCCCUGAAGUUGGGUGUGUAUGGGUAUGCAUGUAUAGCUUUUUUGAGAUUAAAAACCAUUAUUCCACUGUAAUAGUAUUUACCAGAAAAGUUACAAUCUCAUCUAUAUCCACUUAGUCUUAACUGAUAAAAAAUUUUAACUUAACUGAUAAAGAAUUUCACAAUGAAAGGCUUCGAACAAAAUUUACUGAUGUCUGGCUUAUCCUAUUAUGUUUUUAGUAAAUUGCUUUUGCAUAGGAAUGUCAGAAAGCAUGAUAGAUCAAAACAUGAGGAAGCUUUAUAUGAACUUAAAAAAAGCCUUAGGUGAAAAGUCCUAAACAGUACAUAUGAAUUUCAUACUUGGUAGAGUCGAUUUCCAUGUGUUAAAUGACUGAUCUUCAGCCAUAUAUUACCAUUUUCCCUCCACGAUUAAAUGUAUUCCUUUUAGCACACAUACUGGAAAUGAAGAUUUUAACACAAAAAUUGAAUGUGAUAAAAUUACUAUUUUUCUUUAGAGUAAGAUUAGUUAACUUUUUCAAAGAGCCAUUAAAAAGUAGGUUCAGACUAACCAUAGAAACCAUCAGUUAUAUAAUAUAGAUUCUAAAACAGUUCACAGUUGUUGAAAGAUGAUCAAGUGGUGAAUUCUCUGAGCAUCUGAAGAAUGCAUAGACUUCAUUGCUCUGGAAAUGCUCUGGAAAAUGUUAUCCAUUAUAGCAACCUGAAUGAGUAAACUAUUAAAAACGGGAUUAGACUAGCUUUUGUGCUUGAUUUGAAUCUCUGAAACUUUUAGUUGUAAUUUUCUUGGGAGGGAAAAAAAAGUAUGGGAAGAAAGGUUGACAAAAUAGAAAGUUCAAGGAAACACUUAACCUUCCUCUUGGCUUCUGAACCUCAAGGUGCUAUUGUGAGUAAAAAAUGAUUAUGUACUCCAGUGAUAAAAAGUUUAGUGUUCAAAUGUACUUAAGAGGUAAUCCAUUUUAGUCCAUAAAUGGAAAUUAAGUAACACUUAAGUUUUAGGAAGUUCUUUUCACAGCACAAACCUGUUUCUCUUUAGCUUCUAUCCAUUGCUUAUAGUUUUGAUUUCUGGGGUCCAAACAAGUCCAAUUCAGCAAAUGUAUAUUAAAUGAUUAUUGUUUGCAAACCAAGCUCCUUGGUAAGGGAUUAUAUCUUAUCUAAACUAUCUCUUUUAACCACCAACAGUUUCACUUGAGAUUUUUGUUUUUUAACUUAAUCAGAUAUUGAAGAUAUCCUUCAAGUACCUAUUUGAAUUUUAAGCAAAUUUGUUACCCUCAUAUACAACUAAAACGUGUUAAUGAAAGUUACAAAGAAUGAAAGUUAUUCCCAAGUAAGGAUGAUCUGGAUUCCUUUUUAAAGCUAUCAUAUUGGGCUACAAGUGAAAUUUCACAAUAUUUCUGAAGUAACUCUUAAGAGAGCUUGGUUCCACUUUGCCUCACUGCAAAGAAUUCCUGGAUGCCGAAUCUGACGAUAUUACAAGGAAACAUUUCAGAGAAUUAAAAAAGUUCCUGUUGGCAUUGCCACCAUUCCAAGCUUUAAGUCUCAAGAACACAGUUCUUCGAAAGUGAGGACUGCUCACACUCCCCAAUGUGGCUGGGGAAACCUGGAGAAGGCAACAGCAUCCAGCAAAAUUUAUGAGAGCAUCUCACACCAGUAAAAGGUGUGAGGUAGCCCAAGCCAGUGGAAGGUGCAUCUGCAGCAGAUUCUUGUCCUCGGAGGAUAGUAGGCCACCUUGUGAAAAGAUUCCUGAUCCUGGAACAGUAAGUGACUUUGGGGACUUUGAGUGGGGGACUAGACUGCUGAUGCUGCCUGUAUCACCUGCAUACGUCUGUUCUAAUAAAAAUUUGCUUGGUGCCUUAUGGCCAGCAUGUGUGUAACUAGAUUAACACCAAAUUUUUCCAAAAAGGUGGAUUUCUUAGGUUCCUGGGUAUAUAAGUUAAGGGAAACAAUUCUCAAAAGUUGGAUCAUCAAUGCCACAAUUAUUUCUGUUUCAAGGGUAAUACAAGACUGAUUAGAUAGGAGAAAAGAUGGAGACAUACAGACCAGUAGAAGUCUGUUGCAGUAAGGCUAGAAUGAAGUUUUGAGGAUAAAUGAUCUUAAAAAUGGAAGCAUAAAUCCAAGAGAAGAAAUGACAAAGAUUCAAGAAAAUUAUCUAAGAAGACUCAGUAAUAGACUAAAUAUAGGAGAAGAAUUCCCAGGUAUCUAGACUUGAAGAUCAGGAGAAGAACCAGUACUCCUGAAAGAAAUGUCACAAUUAGCAAAAGAAUAUAUCUUUAAGAAGGAAUCCAAUUUUAAAUGUUAAGUAAUGGUAGAACAUACCAGAAGAAUUAUCUUAUAGAUAUUAGAAAAGGUAGAGCACAUCUAAAAGGGGAACUUAUAGACAUUGA